rnacentral:lncRNA from 1 species
UUUUGAUUUUGCAAAUUCAGGAAAAAACACCCUGCAAAAUCUAUGUAUAUUCUAUUGUGUGAUAUGUGAAGAACAAAUGUUAAAGUCAGAAAGAAAGCACAUCUAAUUUCAAUUAUCUUAAGUGGAAAUUCCUACUGUAGGAGUCUUUGGAGAAAAUCCACAAAAUGGAAAUUAUUCUGGGAAAAUGUCCUAAUGGGGAACAGUAUUGUGUGGAACAAUCUUCCAAAGGCGACUGCGUGAUACCUGGAAAAGUAUCCUGCACUGCCACAAGUCAAAGUCAUCUCAGGGACUCAAUGACUAUUGUACAAGACCACAAGAAUACUUCUGCAGAAUGUUACUCCACAGCCUUAUCAGCCACCAUUAGUACAUUGGGAAUGGCAGGUCCAGUCAUCAUCUUUAUGAUUUAACUCUUUUCCAACAUUAUACAGAUCUAAUGCUAAACAUGCAAACAUGGCCUCAGUGUAUUUUGUAAUGGCUCUCUUUGUUAUAUCUUUGGAGGAAUUACAAUAUAGGAAUAAUAAGUGCUUCUCACAAUUUGAGAAUGUUGUGAUAUGUAUAUUUUUAAGGUUACAAUUAGAUGCAUUCUUAAAGUACUAAUUGCAGAAAGAAAUUCAAAUGCUGUUUUAGAAGCUACAGGAAACAUGGUUAGUAACAAAAUAAAGAAAACCAAACAACAUCCAAGCUGGGGGAAUCCUAGGGCAAAACACCAGAAGAAAUAGAAUGAAAUUCAGAAAAACAAAUUUUGGACUAAAAACCAGGAAAAUAAAGGUUAAAAAGGGGAAUAUUACAACACAGAACAAUUUCCAAGAGGAAAAAGAAAUAAAACAUUGGUUGACUCAUAGCAGGGUCAACCUUAAAGAAAGGAAAAUGCCUUAAAACAGGA